AGUUUAGCUCAGUUGGUUCAGAGCAUUCCGUCCAAAACGGAAGGGUCGAGGUUUGUAAUAUCUCAACU
rnacentral:tRNA from 1 species